rnacentral:rRNA from 1 species
UACGUAGGGUGCGAGCGUUGUCCGGAAUUAUUGGGCGUAAAGAGCUUGUAGGCGGUUUGUCGCGUCUGCUGUGAAAAUCCGGGGCUCAACCCCGGACUUGCAGUGGGUACGGGCAGACUAGAGUGUGGUAGGGGAGGCUGGAAUUCCUGGUGUAGCGGUGAAAUGCGCAGAUAUCAGGAAGAACACCCGUGGCGAAAGCGGCUCUCUGGAACGGUACUGACGCUGAGACGCGAAAGCGUGGGGAGCGAACAGG